AGACCCGAAACCCGGUGAUCUAGCCAUGGGCAGGUUGAAGGUUGGGUAACACUAACUGGAGGACCGAACCGACUAAUGUUGAAAAAUUAGCGGAUGACCUGUGGCUGGGGGUGAAAGGCCAAUCAAACCGGGAGAUAGCUGGUUCUCCCCGAAAGCUAUUUAGGUAGCGCCUCGUGAAUUCAUCUCCGGGGGUAGAGCACUGUUUCGGCUAGGGGGCCAUCCCGGCUUACCAACCCGAUGCAAACUGCGAAUACCGGAGAAUGUUAUCACGGGAGACACACGGCGGGUGCUAACGUCCGUCGUGAAGAGGGAAACAACCCAGACCGCCAGCUAAGGUCCCAAAGUCAUGGUUAAGUGGGAAACGAUGUGGGAAGGCCCAGACAGCCAGGAUGUUGGCUUAGAAGCAGCCAUCAUUUAAAGAAAGCGUAAUAGCUCACUGGUCGAGUCGGCCUGCGCGGAAGAUGUAACGGGGCUAAACCAUGCACCGAAGCUGCGGCAGCGACACUCAGGUGUUGUUGGGUAGGGGAGCGUUCUGUAAGCCUGCGAAGGUGGCCUGUGAGGGUUGCUGGAGGUAUCAGAAGUGCGAAUGCUGACAUAAGUAACGAUAAAGCGGGUGAAAAGCCCGCUCGCCGGAAGACCAAGGGUUCCUGUCCAACGUUAAUCGGGGCAGGGUGAGUCGACCCCUAAGGCGAGGCCGAAAGGCGUAGUCGAUGGGAAACGGGUUAAUAUUCCCGUACUUGGUGUUACUGCGAAGGGGGGACGGAGAAGGCUAUGUUGGCCGGGCGACGGUUGUCCCGGUUUAAGCGUGUAGGUGUGUGUUCCAGGUAAAUCCGGUUCACUUUAACACUGAGGCGUGAUGACGAGGCACUACGGUGCUGAAGCAACAAAUGCCCUGCUUCCAGGAAAAGCCUCUAAGCAUCAGGUAACAUCAAAUCGUACCCCAAACCGACACAGGUGGUCAGGUAGAGAAUACCAAGGCGCUUGAGAGAACUCGGGUGAAGGAACUAGGCAAAAUGGUGCCGUAACUUCGGGAGAAGGCACGCUGACAUGUAGGUGAAGUGAUUUACUCAUGGAGCUGAAGUCAGUCGAAGAUACCAGCUGGCUGCAACUGUUUAUUAAAAACACAGCACUGUGCAAACACGAAAGUGGACGUAUACGGUGUGACGCCUGCCCGGUGCCGGAAGGUUAAUUGAUGGGGUCAGCGCAAGCGAAGCUCCUGAUCGAAGCCCCGGUAAACGGCGGCCGUAACUAUAACGGUCCUAAGGUAGCGAAAUUCCUUGUCGGGUAAGUUCCGACCUGCACGAAUGGCGUAAUGAUGGCCAGGCUGUCUCCACCCGAGACUCAGUGAAAUUGAACUCGCUGUGAAGAUGCAGUGUACCCGCGGCAAGACGGAAAGACCCCGUGAACCUUUACUAUAGCUUGACACUGAACAUUGAGCCUUGAUGUGUAGGAUAGGUGGGAGGCUUUGAAGCGUGGACGCCAGUCUGCGUGGAGCCGACCUUGAAAUACCACCCUUUAAUGUUUGAUGUUCUAACGUGGACCCGUAAUCCGGGUUGCGGACAGUGUCUGGUGGGUAGUUUGACUGGGGCGGUCUCCUCCUAAAGAGUAACGGAGGAGCACGAAGGUUGGCUAAUCCUGGUCGGACAUCAGGAGGUUAGUGCAAUGGCAUAAGCCAGCUUGACUGCGAGCGUGACGGCGCGAGCAGGUGCGAAAGCAGGUCAUAGUGAUCCGGUGGUUCUGAAUGGAAGGGCCAUCGCUCAACGGAUAAAAGGUACUCCGGGGAUAACAGGCUGAUACCGCCCAAGAGUUCAUAUCGACGGCGGUGUUUGGCACCUCGAUGUCGGCUCAUCACAUCCUGGGGCUGAAGUAGGUCCCAAGGGUAUGGCUGUUCGCCAUUUAAAGUGGUACGCGAGCUGGGUUUAGAACGUCGUGAGACAGUUCGGUCCCUAUCUGCCGUGGGCGCUGGAGAACUGAGGGGGGCUGCUCCUAGUACGAGAGGACCGGAGUGGACGCAUCACUGGUGUUCGGGUUGUCAUGCCAAUGGCACUGCCCGGUAGCUAAAUGCGGAAGAGAUAAGUGCUGAAAGCAUCUAAGCACGAAACUUGCCCCGA
rnacentral:rRNA from 1 species